rnacentral:sRNA from 1 species
AGGUAGAUGCACCCUGAUAAAUAUUUAAUCGCCCCAGCCGUUAAAAGCUGGGGCUUUUUAUU